GACGAACGCUGGCGGCGUGCUUAACACAUGCAAGUCGAACGGUAAGGCCCCAGCUUGCUGGGGUACACGAGUGGCGAACGGGUGAGUAACACGUGGGUGACCUGCCCCGCACUUCGGGAUAAGCCUGGGAAACUGGGUCUAAUACCGGAUAGGACCGCACCGUGAGGGUGUGGUGGAAAGUUUUGCGGUGUGGGAUGGGCCCGCGGCCUAUCAGCUUGUUGGUGGGGUAAUGGCCUACCAAGGCGGCGACGGGUAGCCGGCCUGAGAGGGUGGACGGCCACACUGGGACUGAGACACGGCCCAGACUCCUACGGGAGGCAGCAGUGGGGAAUAGUGCACAAUGGGCGGAAGCCUGAUGCAGCGACGCCGCGUGGGGGAUGACGGCCUUCGGGUUGUAAACUGCUUUCACCAUCGACGAAGGUUUUCUGACGGUAGAUGGAGAAGAAGCACCGGCUAACUACGUG
rnacentral:rRNA from 1 species